AACUCUCUGCUGGCCUAGUGGUUAGAGUAUCCGCCUCAGAUGCGGGAGGUCGUGGGUUCUUUUCCCGGUCAAGUCA